UGGGGCAUAAAUUACGUGUUGCAUGUUUGGAACCUUUCCUCGGAAGCUUUGAGAAACAAGAAGUAGCUAAUUUAAGUAAAGCUUCUGGUUUUCCUCUGCCAUGAGGAGUGUUAUAAUACUGGCCGUAAUUGGCCUUGUAUCUGUAGCUUUUGCAGACGAAAAGGCAGCUGAAGAGACGAAGAAGGCUCAGGUUGUUCGUGCUAGACUCGUGACAUGUGGCGGAUGACGAUUGAAUAGCCUUCCUGAGGUGAAGGCAUUCUUGUUCGAGGACCUUGGAUAUUAA